GCAGGAUCAACCCACCAGUCAAAUGACCCUGCGACCAGGCACUGAAGCAGAAGAAGAUUGCGCACCAAGUCUUCAUCGUAGCACUGAUCUUCAACGUGAAAUAGACAGCCAAGUGCGGCAAUGGAAGCUGCGUUGGGGCAGUUGCUGUUCGCUUUCUCCGUGAACCUGUACAAGCAGCUUCUCAACGAGGACAGCAAGGCCAACGGUAACAACCUGCUGUGUUCGCCACUCACCAUCGCGGCAACGCUGGGAAUGACGCUCGCCGGAGCCCGCAACGACACCGCCAAACAGAUCCGAGAUCUGUUCGUCACAGGCGAAUCUUCCGGGAGCCUUCCGAGCGCACGUUUCGGUACCCCGGAUGGCGAUCACGCCAUCCACGACGCGUUCGCCUCGCUUAUCAGGAGUCUCAGCCAUGUCUUCGACAACGAUGGAACAGAAGGUCCUGCUGAAAUGAGUCUUCGUUUUGCCAACCGGCUGUACGCGGGCCUCGACGUACGACUGUCCCCCGAGUUCGUGGCGCUUGUCAACUCGUCGUACAGGGCCUCGGUGGCCAACGUCGACUUCGUCGCCGACCCUGAAGCCGCGCGGCAUGCCAUCAACGAGUGGGUGUUCCGAGAGACAGCGUCCAAGAUUGUGGAGCUUCUACCGCCCGGUUCAGUGGACUCGGCCACAUGCGUGGCGCUUGUCAACGCCGUCUACUUCAGAGGCAGCUGGGCGGAGCUGUUCGAUCCUGAGCUCACCGCGCUGGAACCCUUUUAUGAGACGCCCACGCGCAGCCGCAAGGUGAAGAUGAUGUACAGGACGGGACGCUUCGCCGUCGGACGCCACGAGGGCCUUGGAAUCAGUCUGAUCACGAUUCCGUACAGAAACCAGAACGUUUCCAUGGUUGUGCUGCUGCCGGACAAGAUAGACGGGCUGGAUGACCUCGAACGGCGCAUCACGCCCUCGGAACUGGCCGCCAUGAUCGCCAGCGUGAGCGGCUCCACCAAGGUCCGCCUGAAGCUGCCUCGCUUCAAGCUGUCGACGACCUCUGACUUGCGCCGCGCCCUGUCUGCGCUGGGCGUCACCGAUUUGUUCAGCUCGCGCGCGGACCUCUCGGGCGUCGCCGUGACCGGCGGUGGCAGCAGCCAGGCCACCCGCGGAAACCCGGGCUGCGGCGGCUCAGCUUCUUCGCUCGCCGGCGGCGUCUCGGUGGCUCUGCACCGAGCUGCUCUUGAGGUGACCGAGGAAGGCACCGAGGCUGCGGCAGGCUCAGCUUCGGUCGUCACCCGCCGAGACCUGCGCGCCGUCGAGUUCACGGCCGAUCACCCGUUCAUGUUCCUAGUGCGAACCCACGGGCCUGGUGCAGCAGUGCUUUUCGUGGGAAACGUGCGCCGUGUGCAAGACGUUGACGCGUGACUGGGACGAAUUAAGUGCCCGCACUUAACAACGGACAACCGUUUUUGGCACAAAAUUUGUGCAGCUCACUGUUGUCAGUGAGGCCUUAGCUGUGCAUCGAUACUCUUGUCGAUUUGCUUCGCUUAUACCAAGCAAACCUUGGAAAGAUUCGCAGCAGAGAAUGGAAGCGAUGAUCAAGUGCAAGUAUGCGUGGAUAUAUUGUUUUUAUAGAUUCAUCCUUAUUUCACACCUCUGUGUACCUCUAAUUGCUGUCUAUAUAUUUAAGCUCAAGGUGUUCUAAUUUGAAGAUAACACGACUUGCCGAUUGCGCAAUUUUCAACGCGAACACGAGCACGAAGGCAGCCACAGGCAACAGGAACUCGUGGUACGUUUUGUUAUUCUAACAAACGCGUAUUUCUAAAUACCUGCUGUCAAGGUAGACCUUCGCUUCGAUAUGAGGUCGGAGAUGCCAACAGCGAUGCAAACGCCACACCUUCGAUUAAUUCGACGGAAAGCACUUGUCCCACUCCCGCCUUUCUAGCCGAUUAGAAACUGUCGUACCGGUUCAGUAGUUGUACGACAUCAGUUUUUUGUACGACACCAGUCUGCCUACGUUCCGCAAACUCCGCUAACGCCGGGACAAGCGACGUGUCUGAUAAAAUGGGGCAGAUCAAUCGCCAACUCAGAUGCCCGAUAUUUCAGUGGCUGUGUUAGGAGGAAUGUAGAAUGGGUUUUCCUCGCAUUACAUUCAUCUACAACUUUGUAAUUCAGACGCGAUCCACAAAGCUGCGCUGUCAGAAUGAUAGAACUGCACUAGUGAAGCUGUCACCAAACAUGUUUAGCGUUGGAACUUCACUGCUAUGUUCAGAUGCGAAGCUUUGACUGUCGCGGGGCAAAUUCACAGUGUAAUCCUUGCGAAAAUGUUUUUGGAGUUUUCAUAGGGGAGAGCCGUUUUCUUUUUUUUUUUUUGUGCAUAAUCUAAACAUGGGUUCCAAUGCCAAUAUGGGCAAAUUAUACUAUAUACGAGAAGUUAGAAAGCGAAAAUUUUACUAAAAAUUUAUUGUUUUCUGAAUAAUUUAAUAUUCGCAAAUUUACGCGAACGUAAACAAGGCCUACACGAGAAAACACUGCCAGAAAGAAAACUGAAAACGGGAGGUAUAGAUAAGAGCACAGGUACUGAUAUUUGUUUACAUUUAAUUUCAUCUCAAAGUGAUUUCUUGUUCUGAUAAACGGAGCGAAUAUUAAGUACACUAUACCACACUUUUCGUAUGCUUAUAUAUGUCAAUGUAUAGAGACGGAACUGCGUAAUGAACGUCCCGUGGUCCUAUAUGAGGGUAGCAGUUGAGUCGUCCCUGCGAUAGCUAUCGUGAAAGGUUUCAUCGACAGUACUCCAAUCGUCGGUGUGACUGAACCGCCUUCAUCUCUGCAUUGUUUCGUUUAUGUAUUAUUUUUCGCGCACUAAACCAAAGACUUGCUUUGAAUCAAAGCGACCAGUUGCUUUGCCGACACCAACACGACGGUCAAGAGCGGGCAGUUCACAGGAGAGUUGAGCCAUGAAUGAGACAUUCACUGGAGUCCUCCGGGCCUGCUUAACUGAGAUGCGGCCUCUCAUUGGAUACCGCCGUGACCCUGACGGGACAGUUGUCGCCACUGGGCUUGGCGGAUACGUCUACUAUUUGCUUGCGGAGUCACUGAUGAUCAAACACGUCGUCCUGGUGCCGAAGGAGCAGAUCUACGCGGGCACUUUCCCAAACGGAAGUUGGGCUGGCUGUCUGGGAAAGAUCAGCCGCAACGAGGCCGACCUGGCGAUAGGACCUAUCCUGCCCACCAUCAGCCGGUUCAUGGUGGCUCAGCCAUUGCCGCAGUACUACUUCAUUCAUCUCGCUCUGUGCGGUGGAACCAAGCGCCUCUUCAAGACAGACGUGUUCGCCUACGUCACCGCGCUGGA